rnacentral:lncRNA from 1 species
CCCUUCCGGUGUGAUCAACACUAUACCAACUCCGCGACCAUUGACGUGGACCGCCCCAUCAAACAUCAUAACCCAUUUGGAUUCAGGGUCAGGCCCCUUCUCCGGGAGUGGUUCCUCUCAAUCUUUCGAUUUGAGAAACAUGAUGUCCUCAUCAGGAAAGUCAAACCUCAUAGGUUGGUAAUCAUCAAUCGGUUGCUCUGCAAGAUAGUCUGACAAGACACUUCGCUU